CGUGUGCUGCAUACUGUUGGUUUAAAGUUUACCAUAAAAACACUUUCUGUUGUAUUUUCUUGCAAUGAAAUUUAUAUGACUUUAAUAAUUCUAGAGAAAUUUCACACAAUAGUUUGAUUCCAAUGAAAACUGUUACUGGACAAUAAAGACAAUAUUUAUUUGAAAGUUUGGCUCUGAAAUAUGAAUCUUACAGCAACCAUUAAAUAUAUUUUCAUUAGUACUAAAUUUUGACUUCGAGCAAUACUGUGAAAACGCAAAUCAGGGAACGUAAAAAUGCUUGGUAUGAAGUGAUUGAAAACAAGAAACCUGACGUGUUUCAACACCAAAUAUCAAAAUUCAAAUAUAGACAAAUGUUUGAGAAUAAAUUUGUAAAUUUGAGCUGAGUGUACCACAACCCUUCUAAGAAACUAUGCAGAAAACAUAAAAUUCAAGCGAAAAUGUUACCAUCUUUAACUGCCUGUCAUCGACUUGGAUGCAAAUAUAUGCAAAUGGAACCUUUAACAAAUUUUUUCCUGAGUUCUGAGUUUUUCGUAUGAUGGUAAUUUGGUGAUAGUAUCUCGCGCGGAACACAUUUGAAAUGAUAAACGAAGAUUAGCACAUACCUACCCAAACAACACCGCAAUAGCAUACCUGUUUUCUGAAGGUGAUGAUGAUAAUAAGCAGAGGUUUGCAUGAGGCUCUAAAACUGUACGUUUGGUUUGUUGACGUCCGUAAACGAUUCUUGGAGAUCAUCGAUAAAUUGUUAUAGAAUCUGAUAAAGGAUGGAAACGUUCUCAAGGUUACGUCGUUCAUCACACACCCCCAAUCAAAGCAAUCAAGAACCUUUAAUUGUUGUUGAAGAACUGGAAAAUUGUGAAAAGGAAGAAGAAAUCAGUUAUCAGUCUUCUCCCCGUCAAAGCCUGGACAUAGAAUCACCAGAAAAUCCGUACUUACUCUCGCCAUGGCGUGAUCCUCGCGAAACACGUAAGCAUUCCUUACCUACACCACCAUGUACAAGUGGCAUAACGGCUAGUCAAGUACGUCGCCUUUCGGAGCGUGGAGGUGAAGGAUCGGGACCGUCUCCUCGUGAACAGGAAUUCCUUGCAACGCUAUAUAGUUCACCUAAUCCUCAGCCCGGUGGUCGUAGACAUUCGGUUGUUACGAUUAGCCGAGUUCCACCAACCAUUUUUGGACAAAAUCGAAGAGAAUCAAUUGCGGCUUUCCCGGCUGGACAAAGAUACACAGUGUGCACCCGUCGGGAAAGUAACACAGGUCCACCGCUAUCAACUGAUCACAGAGGGAGUAUACAUAAUUUACAAUUAGAUAUUAUGGAUGACAUAGUUCAAGCUAGAAAAGCACGUAUGAAGUUAUGGAACACUAGUAAUGAAAAGGUAUGCGAAGUUCAAACACUGGAUGAAGCUGGUGCUGGUUCUAGUUCACCGAUGCGAUACACCAAUAGACGGUAUUCGGAUUUUGUUGGCACUUCAUUACCGCCAAUACAAUCGUUUAGGCGCGCAUCUGAAAUGCCUAUUACACCCACAACACCAGUUACAGCAUCAUCAAAAUUCAAUACUACGUCGCAAAAACCUACCCACCUUAAAUCAGGAAUAGUAUGCACCAAUACUGAUCUUAUAUCUCUUCUGUCGUCCUUAGCGUCAUCGGCAACAGAAAUUAAUAGAUGUGGUGAUAAAGAUUUUUCAGAUCCUCAAACUCCACGAUUAUCAUCAUCAUCAUUCAAAUCCAUCAGAAAAUCUUUUCCGGAUCAGCAAGCUUGUGGGACAAUUCAAAAAAAUAAUCGCUCCAAUAGUUUUGAUAUUUCGUUGUGCAACAUCAAGCAAUUUGCAACUGGGUCGUCCUCUAGUUCAUCAGAAAUAGCGCAGUAUUCUGUAGAACCAGGAUGGUUUACUAAAAGACAUCAACCAAUUACUCGCCGUACAUCUUUAAAAUCGACAAGAGCGAGGAUUUCAUUUGCAAAGGAAGCAAUAGAUACACUUCGUGACAAAUCUGAUGCAAAAGGUGAAGCGGAAACCAAAUCUAAGACCAAAGAAUCCAGAUCACCUCUUAGCAAAUUAAAAUGGGAUGGUAGAAGCGCUAUCGUCGACGCACGUAUGAUAGGUCAUGCAAUAGAGAGCUUCAUCACAGGCACUUCCAAUUCGCCAAAAACCUCAUCCCAAUCUGAAGAUGCUGGAGCCAAAUCAUCAAAAAAAAGAUCAUCUUUGAAUUGGUUUGGAAAGGCAGACGAAGACGAAUCGAAUGAUGCAUGUGAUUCAUCCCUCUGCGCAACUCUGAAAGAUCUUUUCGUUAAAUAAGAUUCAAAACGUCAAGAGUAUUGAAUUAGCUGAUAUAGCACAGCCAAGCGAAUAGAAACGAACCCACCUGAUUAAACUGUAGCCUAAAUGCGAAAGUGCCAUGUUCCUGGUUGCGGUAAUAGAGCCCAUAAGAAAACAACGACAGAUCCGUCGAAGCCGAUACAGCAAUUAUCAUUUCAUCGCUUCCCAGAGAAUGAGAAAAGAAGCCGAGCUUGGCUCAGGUUUUUCGGACAGUUGCCGAAUACGGUCACAAAAAAUUUGUUUGUUUGUUCGGCGCAUUUUGCUCCCGAUGCAUUCAUAUCUCCUGUUUUCACAACGCAGUAUCGACGGAUUCUAAAAUGCUCAGCAUCUCCGUCUAUUCGACGUACUUCGAAGCCUACGACAGCAAUGUCAUCAAAUCAGUGCAACAAGGAAAAUAUGUAUACAUUAAAAAAGGAGAAAAAAUCCACAGAAAGUUCUAUUAUUGUUAAUACAAUAUCCGAUCCAUGUCCGGAUCAGUGUGUUACUCCUACGGAGGAAGUUUCUGAUGUGCAGCUUG